rnacentral:lncRNA from 1 species
GGAUGGGAAAAUUCCUGGGAAUGGAAUCCAGGGAAUCCAAACAGCUCUGAAAUCCAGGGAAAUUCCUGGAGCCAUUCCAGGAAUUCCCUUGGGGAUGAUUCCAAGGAAAGUGGGAAAUUCCUUGGGAAAAAGACGGGAAUUUUCCCUCCGGAGCACCGGGAUGAGCUCCCGGAGAGUUUGGGAUGGAUUUUAUCCCAUUCCAGCAAAACCAACUCCAGGAACAGGGAAAAUUCCUGGAUUUUUCCCUUUUUCAGAUCCAUUUUCCCGGUUUUUUUUGGCUCCCCAUUUCCCUAAAUCAUGGAAUUUCUUCCUUGGAAUUUCCCCUUUUCCCUUUUGUUUUUAUCAGAAGCCACAUUCCAUGAAUUUUUUGGGGAAUCACGGCAUUCCCACUGCAUUUUUCCCGAUUUUUUUUCCCGUCCCAGAACCCAACGAUCCGAAGGAAAAAGAGAAUUUCCAGCUCUUGGUGCUGCUCAACGAUCGCUUCCAAGCCCUCUGGAAUUUCACGGAGGAGAAUUCCCGGAUACUGAGGGGCUCCGAUUCCGGCUGUAUCCAGGAUUUUUACAUCCUCUGGAAAGGAGAUCUCUUCCUCAGCCUCUCCAUCCAGUAUUUUGUCACCUUCGCCAAUUUCGUGGUGGUUCAAGGAUUCGAGCGGGCGGCUGGGAACAAGAGGU